UAUCAUUAGUGGAUAAGUGUAUUGACAUAUUACUUAAUGCAUCUUGCUAAAUAGGCUAAAUAUUUGUGCAACUUUAUUCCACUUGCUGCUUAUUUGUGUUUGUAGACAUUAUGCACACAUUAUCUUGUUCUGGUAAAACUACACCUCGCAUGACCUGACGUUUAGUAUUUUUCUCGCAUAAAUUGCUUGGCUGCAAGUCCAUUUUAUUUUUGCCUAUUACACAGUAUGUUUCUUUUUUAUUUUGGUUUUAUUUGUUUGGAACUGUUUCUUAUGCUGUAGCAUAUAUUUCCCUGUUUUCCUUUCUGCUUAUGAUACACACAUGUGCUGUUUUUGUCCAUGUAAGAAUUCGAAGUGUAGUGUGCCAUAUAUCUCAAAGGUCUAAGCACGCAGUGUGCAUACCAUUGUUUAACAUUGAUGUUUACAAUUAUGUCUGUCUUGUUCUCAGAAUAACUGUCACUGGCACAUUUGAUGAACUCGAAUUUCUUGAAAUGAAAUAGGAAGGCCAGUAUUCAUUGUGCUGCAGUUACUUAAGUAGUGAGGUAUUUUCUGGGUACACGUGCACUUACUUCAAGAUGACGACACUCCACCUCAAGAACAGCCUCUCCUCAAUGAUAAGUAGCGAGAUUAAAUGAAAGGAAGAUAUCACAUCCGUAACCAGACUGAUACUGUGUUUUCCUUUCAUUUAACCUCCUUCUGCAUUUAAGGAAGCAUUGAUAUGCCCAAUAAAUGUUUUUGUUAAAUUUC